UGGAAAGUCGCUAUAUCACCUCUGUUGCGUUGGUGCGACAUAAAACCCAACAAAAAAGUAUAUCUUUAACUUUGUUAACAUAAAAAGUAACUUUUACUUCAGUUGAUCUUGAAUCCUUGAAAUGUGAUGUACAAAUCAUGCUUGACGCCGUUGGUGACGAUCCAACAGAAGUAGCAUGCGAAGGUGAAUGUCAUAAUCUAUUAGCAGAAGGCAAUGUUAUGAACUUCGGAUGUCCACUAGUGUGCCAUGCAUUCCAGAACCUUGCCCACUAUUUUCACGAGACACCUAAACCCGGACAGCAACACGCACACUGUGGCGGACUUUCACUUUCAACUACCAAGGCUGCAUAAAUCAAACGAUACAAAUCAAUGAUAUAAAUUCUAAAAUAAUAAAUAAUAAAUUCAAGAGAUCAAA